UGCUGCUCCAUCUGAAAGCAGGUGAUGGCAAUUUACUACUAAUCAAGGAACCGGCUUCACUGACGAGAUGCGCAUGAUAUCGCAUGCGAUUUAUCAUGCAUCGCUAUAAACUACAUUAGUGACAACACAGCUUAGAGUAUAAACAUGUACAUUUCUCUGAAUCUGAGUUAAUAGUUACAAAUACAGAGCUUAUAAUGUCUGUCAUUGCUCAACCACAAAGACCUAAAGUACAGCCAUCUGAUUUCAUAACUAAUGCAGUAUUACACUGUGAAGUGAUUUACUGUUAAUAUUUUACACUACCAUAUAAUUAACUAUAUUUGUACAGGUGAGGUAACACAACGAAAAAAUAACAGGAUGGAGACUAACUGAUUCUUCACCUAUGGCCUUAGCUUCAAAUGCAAGAAGUCCAGCAACUGUCUGAGCUGGUGGAUAUUCUAUCAGAGACUGCAUGAACAAUAAUGAUGUCUAAUUGUCUUAUGGCAAAGUUCAAUAUGAGGGUUGGUGGACAUCUGGAAAAGAAGUCUUUUAAAGGCACACCUUUGUAUUAUGUUAUUGAAGGUAAUUUGGGGAAUAUGUUGAUCUAAAAAAAAAACUCUUGUUCUUGUAUAUUGAUGUAAUUUUUAUUGCUAUGAUUUAUGUAUUUAGGGGACAUCACAGCUCACCUUUCUUUAUCAGAAAUGUCCUGUUCAUUUUUUGACAGUUACACACCUAGUUUAGGGUCUUUCUCAAGGGCACCACAGUGGGAUUGAAGAGCAAGGGGACAAAUGCUGUUGGUCUCACAACUGAUCUAACACUUAUUUAAAGCAUAACA